GGACCAAAGACAGUCAUAGUGUACUGGUACGUCUUGCAACGGUAGCUUCUCCGUAGCUGCCAACUGCGAAGAUCGAAUCAUCCUUAUCUUUUUCUUAUGACUUUGUUAAUGCAACCAUAUUUUUUAGAGGUGUGUCUUUGUCGACCAACCGAUCUAUACUUAUUUCAUGGAGAUACGUGCACCAGUCAUAGCCAGGAACCAAGGGUACUUAUUAGCUAAAGUGAGCAGUAAUUGGAUUACCAUUAGCAGGUAGUGUACUUUCCCUCGAAACUUUCCUUUUCUUUUUCUUGAAGAGUAUGUAUGAUCUCUGUGUAAAUUAAUCUGAAUUAUUUGAGGGGUGGCAAUAUCAAAUUUACUCAA